CGCAGCAGAGCUGAGCGCAAACACGCGAGUAAAAAUAUACGCGUCAUAUUUGACAGGAUUACGUAAUUGCACAGGAUUGAGUCGAAUGCCAUGAGCCCUGUCGUACUCGUGUCCGCCCUGCUCGUGUGCUUCGCGGUGACCACUUCCUUGUGCGCUCCCGUCGCUACUCGAGGACUCGGAGACUUCGAAGACCUCACGCAAAGAGUCCUGUUCCAGGCCCUGCGCCAGCCCACGUCUCAGGCGGAUGGCUUCAAACUGCCCGGAUCCAAGCGAGCCUUGGGCUUCUUCUUUGCCCAGUCGUUAAACCCUGAGCAGGAAGCUCGCCUGCAAGACACAGUUCCUGUGUCCAGUCGGCCUCACGCAUUGCCUUUGCGCUGGGGCUGAAAAAACAAUGCAAUAGGCAUCGUGGAACGCGCGUAACAAAUAAAAAAACGUUUUUAGUUCAAAUUCGGAGUAGAUUUAAAAAAAAAUUGUUUUCUUCAUUGCGUUAAUGUGUUUGUCUCACGCAUCGUUCAGUUGUUAUUAACAUUACAACGCCAACGUAUCCGUCCGAAUAGCAGUCUCAGCGAUGAAAGGAAUGCAUGAAAUAAGAUUUCGAGUGGCGAUGAGAACGAUAUAAGUACAGGCCUGUGCGAAAAGUCAUAUCACAAUCGAAGCAAGUGCGAAGCGAAUUGAUAUACAUAGCCGAAACGAAUACGAAGCGAAUACGAAGCGAAAAGAUAUAAAAAAUAAUCGAAUGCGAAUGAAUAGUUGUAUAACCGGACUGAAUAAUGCACGCAUAUAGUAUACAGAUCUAAAAGAAUAUAUAUAUCACGUACAUACGCGAUAUGCAGAUGCGGAUCAGAAUAUGAAGUAUAACCGUUCACUUAGUUCGAAUAUGUUCGGUUUCGAAGAAGCAUCGAUUCGAUUCGGUAUCUGAAAAAAAAAAAUCGAACAUUCGCACAGACCCCGAUCAAGUACAAGGAAUACAAGGAGCACGGACACGAUGAUAACAGAGCACACUAGUAUAUAGGUGGUAAGAAAGUCAUACAUUUACUUCGUCUGAGGAUGAUAAUUAUUACCAACAGUUAUCACUUGCAUAAAGCGUCGAUGUAUAAGGAAGACGCCAGAUUUAAGUUAUCACACGCUAAGUUAGCUGCCUGUUAGCUAUUUUAUUUGCGACCACCAGCAAUGGGGUAGAGUAUCGCCACCUGGCGAUGAAACUCCCCAUUCAUCUUCUCACAAUAAAGUUGUUGUUGUUGUUGUUACUAUUUGCGAACUUAGUUACGCGCGUUCCACGACUAGAAACGACUUCUGACCACACGAGAAAGAGCUUAUAUUAAGAUAACACUUUUAUUCUUCUAUCGCAAUACGUACUCACUUACAUGGUGCUAUAUUUAAACACACUCGGUGCUGUUUUUCCUCACACUCCAUGUCACACGCCCAAGUGUGCGUGCAAAUAAGGUAAUGAAAUGUGCCAAAUAUGUAUACAAUAAAGGAGAUAUACAAUAAAGGAGGUAUACAACAAG